CAGUAGCCGCGGUAAUACGAAGGGUGCAAGCGUUAAUCGGAAUUACUGGGCGUAAAGCGUGCGUAGGCGGUUUCUUAAGUCUGCUGUGAAAUCCCCGGGCUCAACCUGGGAAUGGCAGUGGAUACUGGGAAGCUAGAGUGUGUCAGAGGAUGGUGGAAUUCCCGGUGUAGCGGUGAAAUGCGUAGAGAUCGGGAGGAACAUCAGUGGCGAAGGCGGCCAUCUGGGACAACACUGACGCUGAGGCACGAAAGCGUGGGGAGCAAACAGGAUUAGAUACCCGUGCAGUCCCUGUCUCUUAUAC
rnacentral:rRNA from 1 species